rnacentral:lncRNA from 1 species
CUCAGCUAUUUUUAUCGGCCCAGGAAGCCGGUGGCCGAGGACGUGCUGGGCUACCUUUGCGGGAGGUGUCGCUGUGGGAAUGUGCAGCGGUUGUCAGGGCAGCUGAGCCUCUGCCUCAAGGUUAAAUCCAAAGUGCCUGACCUGGAACAGGAGAGCACUUGAUCUUCCAUUCUGCAGCAGAGGCUUACCCUGGGCAAGCAGAUGUCCCAGGGAGGGGGUGGCCCGGGGACACAGUGGGAGGACUCAGGAUGGAGAGGGAAAGAUAAUGUGGAUGUGUGUGUUGUGCCCAGGUUUCCCCUUCCAAAGCGGGGACAUGGCGAGAUCAUAACAUCUGGGCCUCUGCCUCAGUCAUCUGUGCAGUCCCAGUCCACAAACCCCUACCUCGCUGUGUGUCUGUUUGCAUCCACCCUCUGCAAGGCACCCACACAGGAGAGAACCCAGCAGGGUGUGAGACCAGAUGACACUGAAGCAUUUUCUAUCUGUAAAAGUGCAUCUGAUACCCUACAGAAGCUCCCUCAGCGCAGCCCUCUGAGGGCCAUUCUGACUUUGAGGGAGAGCCAGAAGUUGCAGGAUGCCAGCUCCCGUGAAUCAGGGGAUGAGGACGCGCCAAAAUGCUUUUCUGAGCCUGCCUUUCCACUGGAUGGCACUUAGCAGAAGCGUUCACCAUCUUUUGAUCCUACCUCAUAAAGACACGAAAGAAGACUUUCAGAACUGCCCCAGAAAGUGGUAACAAUGAAGGCAUAAGUGUGUCGGAAUAAAGGAGGGAAUAUUUUAUUGUAACAGCUUUUUAAAAUUUAAACUUUUACCAUAUGUUGCAGUCACAGCACUUAUAUUUCAAAAUAGCAGUGACGAUUUUGAAUAUUGUCACUAUAAAGAAAUGGCAAGUGAGAUGAUGACACGCUAGUUACGUCCACUGGAUCAUCCCUGUUGCUUAUGUGGAUCGAGUCAUUAACCAUACCCAUAAAAUGUACAAUUGUUAUGUGUCAAUUAGAAAUUAGUGAUUUUUUUUGCCCCCUGGAAAACAAUAGUUUAGGCUUCCUAAGCGUGAAUUUGGGAUUCUUGUCUGGAAGUGUCUAACCACAGCAGUUACAUUUGUAGAAAGCAGAUACUCGAAUCACAGGUUUUCUCGGCACAUCCUCAGAAGCGGUGGCCUCUUGCCGAGGGUUCGGAGAUUGAAGCAGGAGCAGCUGAGCUACAUGGAGGCGCCCUCCGCAGUUCUGUGCCCAGGACAGAACAGGUGGCCCCUUGGACCCAUUAAAGGGCCCAAGAGGGGCAGAAAAGGGUAGAGGAGGAGCUGGCUGGGCCCCACAGGCUCUCGGGUUUGGGAGGCCCUGUCCUGGUGCUGGCACUGCUUCAGGACGGGGUUGACAGUGUGUGUGCUCGGUGCAGAAACACGCUGUGCUCACUCCAGCAGCCGCUGCCCACCCUGAGUUUAAAGGUGACUGAACGCAGAAGCACAAGUAUCUUCCUUGAGAAAAAUAAAAGUCUGUAAGGUUGGUUUUGUUUGCCCUAUAAAAGGAUAAAUACAGGAAAUCUGUAAGAUUAAAAAAUAAGCACAAACCCAGUGAGACUCAGGUACCAUCAGCUGGCUAACCAUGGUAGUGGCACUGCCACCAGACAGCUCCAUAGGCGGCCACUGUUGCCUUCGCACAGGUCCACGCUUCUCUCUGCCACUUGCAAGGGGACCUGCUGAUCUGUACCUUCCCACAGGGUUCUGUCACACAGCUCAGAGGCCUGCAGUGGCCACUGAGGACCUCCCACCAGGUUCGCAGGUUGAGAUGGACAUGGCUUUAGUCACCUCCCCUGUGGUUGAGCAUCUGUCUUUGGAGAUGGAGCAGUUGGGUGGGUUCUGUCUUCCUUUUCUGUUCUGCAGACCACUGUGGAUCUCGUCUAGUUUUGCCUGCAGCAGACAUAAAAGCCUCCAAAGAAAUGGGGCCAAUGGAAAGGGUUUGGCAGUGCCCCAAAGAAAAUAAAAAGAUUCAACCCCAAGGAGGCAGACAGUCCUGAUUCUGGGCACACGAGGUAAACGCCGAAUGAAAAUCCAACUGUUGCAGAGAGCGAUUGCUCAGAUGGAGCAAAUGUGCUGUGAAAUCGACCCUCGGAAAAUCAUCUGGAGCUCAUCUUAGUGAAAUCCAAAAACAAUAACUGCCUCCCCCAGCCUGUGCCGGAGGGGAGCUCGGGAGCUCCCCUCGUCAGAAGCCUGGAAAGCCCCGGCAGGAGCCAGGCCCUGGGUCUUCCAACUCUGCCCUUGUUUAUUUAGAAACCUGCCUUUCUUUCCCACCUCAGUUCAUCCUUCAGCUCUGCCCCGCUCCAACCCCUGGGGAGCUUGGAGCAUCCAUCAUGCCUCUCGCACGGCAGGCAGCAGAGACACAAAUAAAAAGAGAGACCGUUAACUGCAUGCUACCUGGCACCAGGAUGUAAGCCGGAGCCUGCACAGUUGGAGGGCGGGCAAAGGGGCGCUGCUGUGUCCCCUCUGAGUUCCUGCCCGAUGGGCUGGGGAUGGGGAUGGGGGGACAGUAAAGGCCAGUAGGAAAAGAUGGAGAAGGGAGUUGCUGACUUUUCCUAAAAAAUAGAGCAACUCUAUGACCUGGGUUUUGCAUGUGAGUGUACAUUCUACAACAGCAGAGAAGCUGCCCAGGGGCUGUCUCACGUCUGCAAAGUGGCCAGAGCUUGUCACCUUCCCAGAGACAUCAGGAGCUCAGCCCAGGGAAAGGAUGCAUCUCCCCUAGCCAGGGGCCUCGGUCUUAUGCAGGCCUCAUUUCCUGGAUUCACUCUUCCACUUCAUGUUGGUUGGUGCUCUCAGUACUUCAGGGGUGAGUUGCCACACUACGGCCAGGCUUUUGGCAUGGCAGCACACAAGGCAACACAGGGGGCUUUUCUGAAGAUUGAUAGCUCCUAUCCCCAAACCUCCCAUCCCAGCCCAACGCCGGCCACUCAGUCUGCAAUCUCACUUGAAGAAUUCAGAUGGCCGAGGUGGAGGAGUCGGAGGGAGGCAGAGGAAGGAGGGGGAGGAUGUUUGUAAGCUGCUUAGCAGAUGAAAGCGACAACAUGUCAAAAUUUCCAAGUUGGUCUCCAAAGUUUUAUGUUAAUGGAUCUUCCAGAAGCUCAUUGCUUAACAACCUGAAGGAGUUUGGUUCCCAACUUUUCUGCCACAGUGCACAAGAGGAUGUUCACGGAACACAUUUCCAUCAGCCAACACUUGUACACAAUUUCAGCACACCGGCAGCUGCCUCCCACCCCUCCGUCUCCCAGCUGUGAAAGC